rnacentral:rRNA from 1 species
CAAGUCGAACGAAGAGGCCCCUCGGGGUACUUCAGUGGCGGACGGCUGAGUAAUGCAUAGGUAACGUGCCCUUUAUUGGGGGAUAACACCGGGAAACUGGUGCUAAUACCGCAUAAGUGCCAGGUUGUAAUACCUGUCAUUAAAGAUUUAUCGAUAAAGGAUCGGCCUGUGUCGGAUUAGCUAGUUGGUAGGGUAAUGGCCUACCAAGGCGACGAUCCGUAGUUGGUCUGAGAGGAUGACCAGCCAGAGUGGGACUGAGACACGGCCCACACUCCUACGGGAGGCAGCAGUAGGGAAUAUUGCGCAAUGGGCGAAAGCCUGACGCAGCAACACCGCGUGGAGGAUGAAGCUUUUCGGAGCGUAAACUCCUGUCAGCAGGGAAUAUAAUGACUGUACCUGCAGAGGAAGCAUCGGCUAACUACGUGCCAGCAGCCGCGGUAAUACGUAGGAUGCAAGCGUUGUCCGGAAUUAUUGGGCGUAAAGAGUUCGUAGGUGGUUAUCUAAGUCUGGUGUUAAAGACGGGAGCUCAACUCCCGCAUGGCAUCGGAAACUGGAUGGCUAGAGUGUGGAAGAGGUAACUGGAAUUCCUGGUGUAGCGGUGAAAUGCGCAGAUAUCAGGAGGAACACCUGUGGCGAAAGCGAGUUACUGGUCCAUUACUGACACUGAGGAACGAAAGCCAGGGUAGCAAAAGGGAUUAGAUACCCCUGUAGUCCUGGCCGUAAACGAUGGAUACUAGGUGUUGGAGGUUUCGACCCCUUCAGUGCCGUAGCUAACGCGAUAAGUAUCCCGCCUGGGGAGUACGACCGCAAGGUUGAAACUCAAAGGAAUUGACGGGGACCCGCACAAGCGGUGGAACAUGUGGUUUAAUUCGAUGCAACGCGAAGAACCUUACCUGGGCUU